UACGUAGGGCGCAAGCGUUGUCCGGAAUUAUUGGGCGUAAAGAGCUCGUAGGCGGCUUGUCGCGUCGGCUGUGAAAACCCGUGGCUCAACUGUGGGCGGGCAGCUGAUACGGGCAGGCUGGAGUUCGGUAGGGGAGACUGGAAUUCCUGGUGUAGCGGUGAAAUGCGCAGAUAUCAGGAAGAACACCCGUGGCUAAGGCGGCUCUCUAGUACGGUACUGACGCUGAGACGCGAAAGCGUGGGGAGCGAACAGG
rnacentral:rRNA from 1 species